AAAGCAGAGUUUGGCUGUAGACAGAAAUCUCUGCAGCUGCUGACGGACACCAGGAUUCACACUGUGGACCUUUAUUUCUGCAGGACUUCUUCAUUGUACAUAUUCAGGUUCUCUGGAACGGAUUUUCCCACAUCUCUCUUCUCAAAGGAACAAAUGUAGUGGAGAAAGAAAAAACUGCUGGAGCCUCAGAAAUCACAGAGCAGCAGAAAACAAGAAGACAGAGAGAAAAAUGGAGACACAAACCAGUGAAUCAAAAAAGAGAAGAAGACAGAGACUUCAGAGAUGUGGCAGUAUGAACAGAAUAAACCCACAAUUUUCAGGUGAUCCAGACGAGCCUGUAAAGAUUCAUUCUGAUAAUCAAAACCCUUCAGGAUGUUCUGAAGAACAUCACAGAGUUCAGAGUUCAGCUGCUGAAGACCUGAACAUCUUCAUCAUCAUCAUCAGUAGUCUGUUCAGAUCCUGGACUGUUUUUCAGACUCAUCUGAUCACAAACAGACAGACUAAUGAACGUGUUCUUCCUCAGAUCAGUGUCUGAUAACUGGGUUUAUUCCUGCUCUCUUUACUGACGACAUUUGAUCUGCAUCUUCGUCAUACAGAGACUUUUUGUGUUUUACAAAAUAUGUGUUUUGCACUGCCUCAUACAUUUUAUGUAUUAUUUAUGUUUAUAUUCCUGUAUAUUGUGACAUAUUUCCUAGAUUAUAUAUUUCUCUUUAAAUAGAGAAAUAUAACAUUUAUUAAAUCAUCUUUUUUCAUCCUAUUAAAUUUAUGCAAUAUCCAUUAAUAGCUUAAUAUAUUUCAUGCAGUGUUAUUUUAGUACUAUUAUAAAAUAAAACAAAUAGUUUAGUUAGAGCAACGGCAGAGACUGUUUAUUUUCACCACAACAUAUUUUAUUUUCUUACAAGAAGACGAUCUCCGUCCCUCUUUUCUGUGUUCUGUUGUUUUUUGUAUAUAUUUUGUAAAUAAUCAUUUGGUUGUAUUACACUACUGCACUGUAAAUAUGAUUAUUAAAGAGUUAUUAUGAAAAAUCA